GACGAACGCUGGCGGCGUGCUUAACACAUGCAAGUCGAACGGAAAGGCCCUGCUUUUGUGGGGUGCUCGAGUGGCGAACGGGUGAGUAACACGUGAGUAACCUGCCCUUGACUUUGGGAUAACUUCAGGAAACUGGGGCUAAUACCGGAUAGGAGCACCUGCUGCAUGGUGGGGGUUGGAAAGUUUCGGCGGUUGGGGAUGGACUCGCGGCUUAGCAGCUUGUCGGUGGGGUAGUGGCUUACCAAGGCUUUGACGGGUAGCCGGCCUGAGAGUGUGACCGGCCACAUUGGGACUGAGAUACGGCCCGGACUCCUACGGGAGGCAGCAGUGGGGAAUAGUGCACGAUGGGCGGAAGCCGGAUGCAGCAACGCCGCGUGCGGGAUGACGGCCUUCGGGUUGUAAACCGCUUUCGCCUGUGACGAAGCGUGAGUGACGGUAAUGGGUAAAGAAGCACCGGCUAACUACGUG
rnacentral:rRNA from 1 species